rnacentral:rRNA from 1 species
UACGUAGGGUGCGAGCGUUAAUCGGAAUUACUGGGCGUAAAGCGUGCGUAGGCGGUUCGCUGUGUCCGAUGUGAAAGCCCCGGGCUUAACCUGGGAAUGGCAUUGGAAACUGGCGGGCUUGAGUGUGGCAGAGGGGGGUGGAAUUCCGCGUGUAGCAGUGAAAUGCGUAGAGAUUGGGAAGAACACCAGUGGCGAAGGCGGCUAUCUGGACGGUUUCUGACGCUAAGACGCGAAAGCGUGGGGAGCAAACAGG